CCCCUCCUUCUUGCACUAAUGUUUUCAGACCUGAGCUGUUUCCUAAAUCUGGAACCUACUGACUGAAGGAGAGGCACUCAACCAUGAGAAAGGAACCUGCAGCACCACAGCAGAGCUUCAACCAGGACCACUAUCCAAGGAAUUCUGAUUCACCAACAUGUUUCCACAUAAUAACAAAUAAAA